CCGCAGCCAGCGCAGGGCUCAGUUUUUUUAUUUGAUUUUUUAUUUGCCUUGCUUGCUUUGGGUCUUUCCCUCUUGUACAGCGAGACGAGUCCCAUUUCACCCCUCCUCUGCCCCUGAAAACAUAGGCCCUGGAUUGUCCCUGCAUCAGACUGCAUGCUACCAAUUGAUUUGUGCAUCUACUCCUCCCUAUUAUUUGAGCUCUUUAUAUUAAAAAUUGCUCUCUAGCUUUAAUGUAAAAUUCGGUUCAUUUUGAGUAAUUUUUUUCACAUACCCAUUCUGGAAGAGAGGACGAAGAAAAGAAGAGAACGCUCACGGAAUGGACAGAUGAAAGGGGACAGCAGAAAAAAAGAGUGAGAAAAUGGAGAGCAUGUUCUGUGGGAGAGCAAGAGAGACCUGACCUAUGCACCCAACAUUGCCAAUCCAAUUCCAUGUAGCCCAAGACCUGAAAAGAAUGCUGUGGUCUACUCUUGUCUUGAGUCCGUGGAAACUUCCCACUAAGGAGUAACAAUGGAAUGAAUUUCAGUCCAGCCUAAGUAAGGUAACAUCUCUGGCAAGUUUGGAGGUUUAGAGAUGAGCCAUUAUGAGGUGGAGCCAUUCACCAACCCAACACACAACACAAUUAUAUGGUAUCCAAACUAGUGGCAGAUUGACUCUUUCUUUCAGGGAUCGUCAUAAGACAAUGACCCAAAACACACCUCCAGGCUGUGUAAGGGCUAUUUGACCAAGAAGGAGAGUGAUGGAGUGCUGCAUUAGAUGACCUGGCAUCCACAAUCACCCGACCUCAACCCAAUUUAGAUGGGUGAAGGAAAAGCAGCCAACAAGUGCACAACAUAUGUGGGAACUCCUUCGAGACUGUUGGAAAUACAUUCCAGGGGAAGCUGGUUGAGAGAAUGCUAUGAGUGUGCAAAGCUGUCAUCAAAGUAUUGAUUUGUUUAACACUUGUUUUGUUUACUACAUGAUUCCCAUAUGUGUAAGUUCAUAGUUUUGAUGUCUUCAAUAUUAUUUUACAAUGUAGAAAAUAGUCAAAUAAAGAAAAACUCUUGAAUGAGUAGGUGUGUCCAAACGUUUGACUGGUAUUGUAUAUACAUGUACAGUGCCUACGGAAAGUAAUCAGACCCCUUUAAUUUUUCCACAUUUUGUUGUGUUACAGCCUUCUUCUAAAAUGGAUUAAAAAAAAAAUACAACUCAGCAAUCUACACACAAUAAAUACCUCAUAAUGACAAAGCAAAAACAGGUUUUUAGUAAUUUUCUUCAAAUGUAUUAAAAAUAAAAAUUCAAACACCUUAUUUACGUAAGUAUUCAGACCCUUUGCUAUUUGACUCGGAACUGAGCUCAGGUGCAUCCUGUUUCCAUUGAUCAUCCUUGAGAUGUUUCUACAACUUGAUUGGAGUCCAACUGUGGUAAAUUCAAUUGAUUGGACAUGAUUUGGAAAGGCACACACCUGUCUAUAUAAGGUCCCACAGUUGAAAGUGCAUGUCAGAGCAAAAACCAAGCCAUGAUCUGGUGAAGGGUACCAAAACAUUUCGGCAGAAUUGCAGGUCCCCAAGAACACAGUGGCUUCCAUCAUUCUGAAAUGGAAUACAUUUGGAACCACCAAAACUUUUCCUAGAAGUGGCUGCUCGUCCAAACUGAGCAAUCGGGAGAGAAGGCCCUUGGUCAGGGAGGUGACCAAGAACCCGAUGGUCACUCUGACCGAGCUCUAAAGUUCCUCUGUGGAGAUGGGAGAACAUUCUAGAAGGACAACCAUCUCUGCAGCACUCCCCCAAUUAGGCCUUUAUGGUAGAGUGGCCAGACGGAAGCCACUCCUCCGUAAAAGGCACAUGACAGCCCGCUUGGAGUUUGCCAAAAGACUCUCAGACAAUGAGAAACAAGAUUCUCUGGUCUGAUGAAACCAAGAUUGAACUCUUGUGCCUGAAUGCCAAGCGUCACGUCUGGAGGAAACCUGGCACCAUCCCUACGGUGAAGCAUGGUGGUGGCAGCAUCAUGCUGUGGGGAUGUUUUUUAGCGGCAGGGACUGGAAGACCAAUCAGGAUCGAGGAAAAGAUGAACGGAGCAAAGUACUGAGAGAUUCUUGAUGAAAACCUGCUCCAGAGUGCUCUGGACCUCAUACUGGGGCGAAGGUACACCUUCCAACAGGACAACGACCCUAAACACAUAGCCAAGACAACUCAGGAGUGGCUUUGGGACAAGUUUCUGAAUUUCCUUGAGUGGCCCAGCCAGAGCCUAGACUUGAACCCGAUCGAACAUCUCUGGAGAGACCUGAAAAUAGCUGUGUAGCAAAGCUCCCCAUCCAUCCUGACAGAGCUUGAGAGGAUCUGCAGAGAAGAAUGGGAGGACCUCCCCAAAUACAAGCUUGUAGCGUCAUACCCAAGACUCGAUGCUUUAAUCACUACCAAAGGUGAUUCCAGAAUCAAAUCAAAUCAAAUGUAUUCAUAUAGCCCUUCGUACAUCAGCUGAUAUCUCAAAGUGCUGUACAGAAACCCAGCCUAAAACCCCAAACAGCAAGCAAUGCAGGUGUAGAAGCACGGUGGCUAGGAAAAACUCCCUAGAAAGGCCAAAACCUAGGAAGAAACCUAGAGGGGAACCAGGCUAUGUGGGGUGGCCAGUCCUCUUCUGGCUGUGCUGGGUGGAGAUUAUAACAGAACAUGGCCAAGAUGUUCAAAUGUUCAUAAAUGACCAGCAUGGUCAAAUAAUAAUAAGGCAGAACAGUUCAAACUGGAGCAGCAGCACGGCCAGGUGGACUGGGGACAGCAAGGAGUCAUCAUGUCAGGUAGUCCUGAGGCAUGGUCCUCGGGCUCAGGUCCUCCGAGAGAGAGAAAGAAAGAGAGAAUUAGAGAGAGCACACUUAAAUUCACACAGGACACCGAAUAGGACAGGAGAAGUACUCCAGAUAUAACAAACUGACCCUAGCCCCCCGACACAAACUACUGCAGCAGAAAUACUGGAGACUGAGACAGGAGGGGUCAGGAGACACUGUGGCCCCAUCCGAGGACACCCCCGGACAGGGCCAAACAGGAAGGAUAUAACCCCACCCACUUUUCCAAAGCACAGCCCCCACACCACUAGAGGGAUAUCUUCAACCACCAACGGCACAACCCAAGGGGAAAGUACUUAGUAAAGGGUCUGAAUACUUACAUACAUUUUUUUUAUAUAUAAAUUAUUUUUUUAAAUUGCAAAAACCUGUUAAUGCUUUGUCAUUAUGGGGUAUUGUGUGUUGAUUUAUGAGGGGGGAGGGGGACGAUUUAUUCAAUUUUAGAAUAAGGCCGUAAUGUAAUAAAAUGUGGAAAAGGUCUGAAUACUUUCCGAAUUCACUGUAUAAAGGGAGAUUAGAAAUUAUGUAAGUAAUAUUAUUUGAGAGACAUCGAUUCUAUCUGCUAAUUUCAUAGCUGAUCUACCUCCUUAAAAAAAUAUUUUUAAAAAUAAUUGUCUUGGAUAAAUUAUACAUGAACCAUAGUGUCAGACUUGUAUCUUUGCAUCAUUGCCAUGAGCAACCAAUGACCAUUGAGACCCCUGGAGGGACAGUCCCUAUUGGCCGGCUUUGUGCCAUGACCACUAACAUGGUCCAAUGAGAAGAAGUUGUGUAUGUUUCAUAUGUUUCACCUGGGACUUUCAAGUUAACUGCCCAGCUGAUGAAGACUUGCAUGAUAAUAGAAGUAUUUUUAGAUACAGAGAGAGCUUUGAUAGUCAUCUUGUGUUAGUUAGUGUUCAUUGUGUGUUGCAAAUCAAUAAAAACAAAACAGUGGGAUGGAUUGUUAUGAACAUGUUUCAUUUCAAUAAAGUUACAUCUAUAAAAUGUUA